rnacentral:rRNA from 1 species
GACGAACGCUGGCGGCGUGCCUAACACAUGCAAGUCGAGCGAUUCUCUUCGGAGAAGAGCGGCGGACGGGUGAGUAACGCGUGGGUAACCUGCCCUGUACACACGGAUAACAUACCGAAAGGUAUGCUAAUACGAGAUAAUAUGCUUUUAUCGCAUGGUAGAAGUAUCAAAGCUUUUGCGGUACAGGAUGGACCCGCGUCUGAUUAGCUAGUUGGUAAGGUAACGGCUUACCAAGGCGACGAUCAGUAGCCGACCUGAGAGGGUGAUCGGCCACAUUGGAACUGAGACACGGUCCAAACUCCUACGGGAGGCAGCAGUGGGGAAUAUUGCACAAUGGGCGAAAGCCUGAUGCAGCAACGCCGUGUGAGCGAUGAAGGCCUUCGGGUCGUAAAGCUCUGUCCUCAAGGAAGAUAAUGACGGUACUUGAGGAGGAAGCCCCGGCUAACUACGUGCCAGCCGCCGCGGUAA